rnacentral:rRNA from 1 species
AUUGAACGCUGGCGGCAGGCCUAACACAUGCAAGUCGAGCGGAUGAAGGGAGCUUGCUCCUGGCUUCAGCGGCGGACGGGUGAGUAAUGCCUAGGAAUCUGCCUGGUAGUGGGGGAUAACGUCCGGAAACGGGCGCUAAUACCGCAUACGUCCUGAGGGAGAAAGUGGGGGUUCUUCGGACCUCACGCUAUUAGAUGAGCCUAGGUCGGAUUAGCUAGUUGGUGGGGUAAAGGCCUACCAAGGCGACGAUCCGUAACUGGUCUGAGAGGAUGAUCAGUCACACUGGAACUGAGACACGGUCCAGACUCCUACGGGAGGCAGCAGUGGGGAAUAUUGGACAAUGGGCGAAAGCCUGAUCCAGCCAUGCCGCGUGUGUGAAGAAGGUCUUCGGAUUGUAAAGCACUUUAAGUUGGGAGGAAGGGCAGUAAGUUAAUACCUUGCUGUUUUGACGUUACCAACAGAAUAAGCACCGGCUAACUUCGUG